rnacentral:tRNA from 1 species
GGUUCCAUAGUGUAGCGGUAUCACUUUCGGUUCUGAUCCGAACAACCUGGGUUCGAACCCCAGUGGGACCU